CCUACGGGGCGCAGCAGUGGGGAGUAUUGGACAAUGGGCGAAAGCCUGAUCCAGCCAUGCCGCGUGUGUGAAGAAGGCCUUCGGGUUGUAAAGCACUUUCAGUGGGGAAGAAAGCCUUGGGGCUAAUACCCUCGAGGAAGGACAUCACCCACAGAAGAAGCACCGGCUAACUCCGUGCCAGCAGCCGCGGUAAUACGGAGGGUGCGAGCGUUAAUCGGAAUUACUGGGCGUAAAGCGCGCGUAGGCGGUCUGAUAAGCCGGUUGUGAAAGCCCCGGGCUCAACCUGGGAACGGCAUCCGGAACUGUCAGGCUAGAGUGCAGGAGAGGAAGGUAGAAUUCCCGGUGUAGCGGUGAAAUGCGUAGAGAGCGGGAGGAAUACCAGUGGCGAAGGCGGCCUUCUGGACUGACACUGACGCUGAGGUGCGAAAGCGUGGGUAGCAAACAGGAUUAGAUACCCCGGUAGUC
rnacentral:rRNA from 1 species